rnacentral:rRNA from 1 species
UACGUAGGGCGCAAGCGUUGUCCGGAAUUAUUGGGCGUAAAGAGCUCGUAGGCGGUUUGUCGCGUCUGCUGUGAAAACCUAAGGCUCAACCUUGGGCUUGCAGUAGGUACGGGCAGACUAGAGUGCGGUAGGGGUGACUGGAAUUCCUGGUGUAGCGGUGGAAUGCGCAGAUAUCAGGAGGAACACCGAUGGCGAAGGCAGGUCACUGGGCCGCAACUGACGCUGAGGAGCGAAAGCAUGGGGAGCGAACAGG